UCCGAGUUGUCCCCGGCAGUCCCUUUAGAGUCCCCGGCAUUACCCGCUGGCAACUAAAGGCAGGGGUUGCGCUCGUUACGGCACUUAAGCCAACACCUCACGGCACGAGCUGACGACAGCCAUGCAGCACCUGUGCUGGCCCCUUACGGAGCCCUGCUUUCACAGGGUUUAACCAGCAUGUCAAGCCCAGGUAAGGUUCUUCGCGUUGCAUCGAAUUAAGCCGCAUGCUCCGCCGCUUGUGCAGGCCCCCGUCAAUUUCUUUGAGUUUUAAUCUUGCGACCGUACUUCCCAGGCGGCGCAUUUAUCGCGUUAGCUUCGCCACAAACGGGGUCGAUUCCGUUUACAGCAAAUGCGCACCGUUUACAGCCAAGACUAC
rnacentral:misc_RNA from 1 species